rnacentral:tRNA from 1 species
GGGAGGUUAGCUCAGGGGUAGAGCACCUGCCUUACACGCAGGGGGUCGUGGGUUCAAAUCCCCCACCUCCCACCA